rnacentral:rRNA from 1 species
UACGUAGGGUGCGAGCGUUGUCCGGAAUUAUUGGGCGUAAAGAGCUUGUAGGCGGUUUGUCGCGUCUGCUGUGAAAUCUCAAGGCUCAACCUUGAGCUUGCAGUGGGUACGGGCAGACUAGAGUGUGGUAGGGGAGACUGGAAUUCCUGGUGUAGCGGUGAAAUGCGUAGAUAUCUGGAGGAACACCGGUGGCGAAGGCGGCAUCCUGGACCGACACUGACGCUGAGGAGCGAAAGCCAGGGGAGCAAACGGG